AAUGAACGUUGGUGGCGUGGAUUAGGCAUGCAAGUCGUGCGCGAAAGUCCCUUCGGGGACUGGAGAGCGGCGAACGGGGUAGUAAUGCGUCGGAACGUACCCUUGGGUCUGGGAUAACCGCGGGAAACUGCGGGUAAUACCGGAUGACCUCUUUGGAGCAAAGGUGAGACUCCGCCCGAGGAGCGGCCGACGUGAUACCAGCUAGUUGGUGAGGUAAUGGCUCACCAAGGCUCAGACGUCUAGGGGGUGUGAGAGCAUGGCCCCCACCACUGGGACUGAGACACUGCCCAGACACCUACGGGUGGCUGCAGUCGAGAAUCUUCGGCAAUGGGCGAAAGCCUGACCGAGCGACGCCACGUGCGGGAUGACGGCCCUCGGGUUGUAAACCGCUGUCGAGGGGGAUGAAGUCAUUGGGAGCUAUCUCCCGAUGUUGACAGAGCCCUGGAGGAAGCGCGGGCUAAGUACGUGCCAGCCGCCGCGGUAA
rnacentral:rRNA from 1 species